CUUGUUAAAAUCAAUGGCUUGUAAAUUUUGUCAUUAAAUUGAGAAUGAUUUAUGAGUCGGAGUCCCAAUGUGUCAAAGUUUUAUGCAAGUCCUUCAACUUUGAUUUACUUAUGUUCUACUGUACCAGAGUGUCCUAAUAUUUAGUCUUAUGUGGUUGCAUAACAUUUUGUCACAAAUGCAAUCUUGUUUUUUUAUAGUGAGGAGAGUGCAAAGGCAUUUCAAAACUGGACCAAGUAUGAUGAUGCACAGGAGACUUUCUGUGAGAUAGAUGAUGACACUUCUCCAGAUAUGAAGUAUGUAGAUUUAUUGUUGAACCCUGAAAGGUAUACAGGUUAUAAAGGGGACUCACCUCAUCGUAUAUGGAACAGUAUUUACAAUGAAAAUUGCUUCAAAGUUAUGUCCCGGACAAGAAAAGCGGUGAAAAAGCGGUGACUAUAUGCUCACCCUUCGGGGAGCAUAAAAAUCUUGGUAGAGGUCGGCAAGACAGAACCUAGUGCAAAAUGUCUAAGCUUUAGGCCUUGUAGGUAAAAAGAUCUCAUUAAAUAGAAGUGCAGUGUUCUUGUUUUAAUUAUAGCCCUGGGGUCAAAAUUGGCCCUGCCCAAGGGGUAUUUUUUUUUGUUUUAUGUAUAUAGUAAAAUUUAAAAAAAAUCUAUUUCUUCAAAACUACAAGGGCUAAGGCUUAGAUAAUUGACAUGAAACAUUGUCUAGUGAACCUCUAUUAAGAUUAUUCAAACUAAAGCUUUAGGGUCAAAAUUGGCCCUGCCCUAGGCAAUUUUCUUAAAAUCACAAUUAAAUAUUGAAAGGGAAAUAACUCAUGCGUGUGUGCAAUCAUUUGAUGCAAUUUUUCUAAAAACAGAUUCAAUAGCUAGGAGUUUGUCUAAAGUUCAUGACCUCUAGCAAGUUAGAUUUUUGCUUUUCAGAAAUACUUAUGAGAGGUUGUAGGUCAUGAUCUCUAGCAAGCUUUGCAGGGAUAUUUAUGAAAUGAUUUUAGCACAUAAUAAGGACAUCACACCAUGUAUAUAAUUAUGAUUAUAAAGCAGAAAUGUUUUUUUAUGUUUUCAUAAAUUAUGCAUUUUUGAAAUGAUAGUAUAUAAAAACUGUAACUGUAUUUCAAAGUUAAACACACAAAAACUGUAACUGUAUUUUAAAGUUAAAUACACUUACCCCCGUUCACACAUAGACGCCGCUUCUUCUACGAUCCAAACGUGCCCAAAAACGUGGCCGAUCGUGGCAAAUCACGAGAGAAACGUAGUGGAGUCUACAUAAGUGCAGUAUGAUCACGGUAGCGUCUUCAUGAUCGAAAAGCUCUACGCUUUAUUUUGAACGUGCUCAAAACAAGCGUAGCGGGAUCGUAGCCAACAAGAAUCGGGGUAAAUGCGUAAAAAGAGCAUGGUAGAAGCGCCGUAAUCGUACAAGCAGCGCGUAAGCAUCAUGGAUAGUUCUUCAUGAUCGUAGUAAAAGCGCAGUAAAAGCGUAGUACAGUCGAGACAUACCGAGUACGCUUCUACAACGUUCCCACUAUGUUCUUACUACGUUCCCACUACGAUCUCUCUACGUUUAUGACGAUCCUACGAAGACCUACUAUGACCUUACGACGAUGAUACCACGACCUGUCAGGUAGCAGUUUGUUUUUAUAGCUUUGCUAUUUGACCAAUCAUAAUCUGACAACUACAUAUAUAGGGCGACACUUUACUUGAUCAUUUGCAGCUGAGACUUCGAACAUAGCACAUCUGCAACAGUUUGAAAAAAAAAAAAUGCCCCGUAAACCAUGUUGUAAAGGCCUUACCCAGUAUCUUCUUGGCCUCCUUCUGCGCCUCCUCCUGUUAACAAUCUGUGCAAUUUCAAUUUCAACCAAUAUUUGUUCUUGCUGAAGUAAAGUCAGAUGAAUCAGAUCAGCAUUAAUAAGUCCGUUCAUGUUUGAAGUUUGGAAGUAAAUGAAAAAUAAUUUCUGAAAUCCAAGAUAUAUAUAUCAUCGCCAUAAUCGUACCAGAAGCGUAAUACAAGCGUGAUAUGAUCGGCACUGUCGUAGCGAUCUUGUCGUACAGUCUUCUAGGUCUGCGUAGCGUCGUAGUGCGAGCUUGAUUGUCGUAGCGGCAGUGUAGUAUAAACGCAAUAAACUCGGCCGCUGGUCGGCAUCGGUCAGCGUAACAUUGUAGUAGAAGCGUGUCAGCAGCGCGUUUUACGUGGGAAACAUCAUAGUACAGUCGUAAUGAAGAAAAUUUGCUAAAUUGUUCAAUUUCAACGCCGAUCGGCCCCGAUCAAAUACUUUUUCAGAUCGUGGCUUGAUCGGCAUGAUCGUUCUGAAGUCGCAGCUCUGUGUGAACGGGGGGUUAUGUAAUGCAGUAAAUACCUUAAUUUUUAUCAAGUAAGAAUAAUUUUAUUUUGAAUCAAUUAUUAUACUAUGGCCUUUGUAUGUGAACAUUUAAAACAUCUGCACAUUGUCUGUUAUUUGACAUAGUGAAAUAUUACCUUGACCCCUAAAGUCACUAGAGACUACUGCAUUAUUGCAAAGUUCAGUUGUGUAGAAACAACUUCUGCUUCUAUUUAGUUUUGUAUUAAUGCGGUGGCAUAGCAUUUUUCACAAAUGCAAUCUUGUUAUGUGAAUAUAAUAAUGUUUAAAAUUUUUGGGAGACAUAUUGUUUUUGCCUUUGCCGUCUGUCUGUCCAUCUGUCUGCAUCACCAAAUAUGGAUAGGUAGCCAUCUUCUGUACACAGAGCUAAAGAGAACAAUAGAGUUUAUUUGGUAACAAUAGAGGAAGGAGCCAAUGGGCCUCGAUUUAAAUAAAUAAUAUAAAUGGCCCUAUAUCCCUAUUCAGUGGCAUGUCGGUCUGUUUGUCAGUGCUAUUUAAGAGAAGUAGGCCAAGUAACUGUAAACAGAAUAAAAGAGAACAAUUAUUAUUAUAGAGUCCAUUCAGUAACAAUAGAAUGAGGGGACAUGUCCCACUAUUAAACAAAAGAAAAUAACAAAAGAAAUAUCCCCAUAGUGAAUAGUCUAUUUAAAUGGCAUGUCUGUCCAUCUUGUUGUCUGUCCUUCCACAAAAAGCUUGUUUGGCUUUAACAGGUUCAAUACAGGGGGGGGGGGUAGAUGUCAAGCAAAUUUCACAGGAGUGAUCAGUACCAUCCCAAGUUGUGCAUAUCGCUGGCCAUGAUUGCCAAUAUUUUUAGAAGAAAACCCCUUUUGAUUUUUGGGUCUCAAGGUAAAAAGUGAAGGUCACUAUUACCUGAAAACUGAAAACAGUUUUAGCUUAAUAACUUAAGUAUUAAUCAACCUACAGCUGUAAAAUUUUAUAGGAUGAACAACCAUGUCCAAUACUUCACCCUUAUUGAUUUUAGGGUCAUAAGAUCAAAGGUCAGGGUCACAAUGACCUGAACACUGAUAAUUUUGCUUUCUGGAGCAUAACACAAGUUCCAUUUGGCUUACAAUGUUCAAACUUAAUAGGGAUAAUUGCCUAUAUUGAAUAAAAGAUCCAUAUCUAUAUUGGGGUCACAAGGUCAAAGGUCAAUAUCAAAUGACCUCAAUGUUGUUAGGAUGAUCACUUAUAUUGAGUACAUUAAUUAUACAUGUAUGCCCUAAAAAAUUUGCUUAUAUUAAGUAAAACCCCUGGCGUCUUUCCGUCCAUCUGUCAUAGCAUUUUUACUUACAAGAUAAUAACUUGAUGACAGCAACUGUUCAAUAUGAAGGUUCUUCAACUAUAAAGGAAGAUUGCUU